ACACAGUGAAUGAAAAACCAUGUCUGACUGAAACCAUUUCUUGGUUGUCUAUUGGGGAGGCUAGAGGAAGUAUCCUUUUGAAAAUGGUGGUCAAUAAAC